rnacentral:lncRNA from 1 species
UUGAAAUGGAUUGUGCUAAUCUUAUGGAGAAUUUGAAUUGAACAUUGUGUUCUUUUCUCAGAUAAGUGGAACCAGUUUCCCAAUCGGCGGAGACAAUGGUAUGAUGGGUGCAGAUAAUGAGAGGGCUGAAGGGCCGCAGACUAUGCUUUUGGUGGAGGAGGGCAUUAGGAAGGUUGACACGGAGUUUGCUUGCAUCUCAUACUUAACACCAUGGCGCUGGUGCAACCAAGCUGUAAGAUGGCUGGCAUGGAAGACUGGUACCACACUUGCUGGGCUCGUGUUACCAGAUACAUGGAGCUGGGAGAAAAUUGUCGGAUCACCUGCUGUUCAAGGCAGAGGUGGGUGUUCAUUGUCUGCUUGCACUGUAUGCACUGAAGCUCAGCAUCGGAUGAUUUACGAUAGGCUCCAUGGCUCAGGCUCAUUCCGAUGGAGAGUUGAGGUACCUCCAACUACUCUGAGGAUGGAAUGCAUAAAGAAAGAAGCAUGGAACCCCGAAGAAGGUGGUAAGGUUGAGCAUGUAUUGGAGGUUGUUGUUGGCAUGGGAGGUCUGCCGACUAUGGAUGAUGAUUACUUCCUCCCCGUGGUAGGGUUGAAUAAGUAUCCUGGACCUUACAAGACCCAGAUGCUCAGACUGACGGAGUAUGUCAAACCCCUGACCGCCAUAGAGACAGCCAGGCUUAUUCGUCAGAGAGGGCCGAUCAUU